GGAUUAGGCUGCAAGUCGCACGAGAAAGGCUUCUUCGGAAGCCGAGUAAAGUGGCGAACGGGUGAGUAAUGCAUAGACAACUCGCCCUUGAGAUGGGGACAACGCCUCGAAAGGGGUGCUAAUACCCAAUGCCGCCUUGGGCCUGCGGGUCCAGGGUGAAAGGAGGCCUCUGAUUCAAGCUUCCGCUCAAGGAGAGGCUUAUGUCCUAUUAGCAAGUUGGCGGGGUAACGGCCCACCAAGGCUGCGAUGGGUAGCCGACCUGAGAGGGUGACCGGCCACAUUGGGACUGAGACACUGCCCAGACUCCUACGGGAGGCUGCAGUCGAGAAUCUUCCGCAAUGCGCGCAAGCGUGACAGAGCGACGCCGCGUGGGUGAUGAAGGCCUUCGGGUUGUAAAACCCUGUCAGCUACUACGAAACACGGGCGAUGAACAAUCGUCCCGUCUGACUUAAGUAGCAGAGGAAGCACCGGCUAACUACGUGCCAGCAGCCGCGGUAAUACGUAGGGUGCGAACGUUGUUCGGAAUCACUGGGCAUAAAGGGCGCGUAGGCGGUCUGAUAAGUCAGGUGUGAAAUCCCUCGGCCUAACCGAGGAACUGCAUUUGAUACUGUCGGGCUAGAGUACAGGAGGGGAGAGUGGAAUUCCUGGUGGAGCGGUGGAAUGCGUAGAUAUCAGGAGGAACGCCGGCGGCGAAAGCGACUCUCUGGCCUGUUACUGACGCUGAGGCGCGAAAGCUAGGGGAGCAAACGGGAUUAGAUACCCCGGUAGUCCUAGCCCUAAACGAUGGGCACUAAGUAGAGGGGUUUU
rnacentral:rRNA from 1 species